UACGGAGGGGCUAGCGUUGUUCGGAAUUACUGGGCGUAAAGCGCGCGUAGGCGGACCUGCAAGUCGGGGGUGAAAGCCCGAGGCUCAACCUCGGAACUGCCUUCGAUACUGCGGGUCUCGAGUCCGGAGAGGUGAGUGGAAUUCCUAGUGUAGAGGUGAAAUUCGUAGAUAUUCGGAAGAACACCAGUGGCGAAGGCGGCUCACUGGCCCGGUACUGGACGCUGAGGUGCGAAAACGUGGGGAGCAAACAGGG
rnacentral:rRNA from 1 species